CAAGUACUCCUGUUCUUGUCCUUAUAGAAUACCCUGUAUGGAGGCUUAGAGGUUAGUGCCUUGAGCUCUGGCACUCUCCUGGCUGAUGUUAUCACUACCAAGAACACCACAUGUAUGAGAGAUACAGCAAGGAACAUGUCGCCAGUGGUUCAAAGGGUGGCCCCAUCAGGCUGGAAAGGACCAAAUUAAGGUCCCAGGCUGGGACUGGCUAUCAUAUGUGAGGGUAGAGUCUGUCAAGACCCUUUAGGAAAUGACUCACCAUCGGGUUGGCAAAGACUGGCUGACCCUGCAGCCUGGAUGGAAGGCAGAGACAGUGUCCAGGUGGAUCUUCAUUAACGACAGGGUAAGCCCUUGCUGUUUGAGGUGGAGAAGGUAGUCCAAUAUGAUAGGUAUGGAUGCUAGAGUUGGAGACGGAAGGUAUUGUGAAGACCAAAUUGAGAAUCUCUUACAUUUUGCCAGGUAGGUGGCCAUAGUGGAAGGUUUCCUACUACCAAGGAGGACUUGUCUGAACAGGCGAGCUCGAUCGGAUUCAGCCAUGAAGCUUCCAGGUCAUGAGGUGCAGCAAUUCAAAGUUUGGGUGCUGGAGAUGGACGUGAUCCUGGGAAGAGCGGCAGGAUGACUGGGGCUUCCACAGACAUUUCCAGAAGAGACACGUACCAGUGCUGACAGGCCCAGGCUGGAGCUAUCAGUAUCACCAAGGCCUCGCCCCUCCGAACUUUGAGAAGCACCUUUUGAACGAGAGAUGGGCUCAGAAAGUCUGACAUGCUAGGCGGACUGCUCUCAGCUCUGUGACAUUGAUGUGAAGGGAGUGCUCUACCUGAGACCAGAGUCCCUGUGUCCUGAGGUGUCCCAGAUGUGCACCCCAACCCAACACUGAUGCGUCCAUCACCAGCAAGAAGGAUGGCUGUGGUCUGGUGAAGGGAAUCCCUGUACACACCGCCUGUGGGUCAAGCCACCACAGGAGGAAGUCGAGGACUGGCCGGGGUAGAGUGACGAUCUUGUCUAGACCAUCCCGAACUGGCCAAUACACCAAGGCCAGCCACGCCUGAAGGGGUCAAAGUCUCAGCCUGGCGUGCUAUACUAUAUAGUCUGACUCUCCUAUCCUGACAGGCAGCAGAACUCCACCUGGCAAGCUGGCAUAAUUAUAAGUCAGGUGAGUACCACAGGUGACCCGAUUGAAUCUCAUAGAGAAGCUUCUGAUGAAUUAAGGGCCAAAUUUAAAAAAAAAACAAAAAACAAAACCUCAGAACCAAGCAGUUUCCAUUGUUCUUAGUGGAACUGCUGGCAGGGGUGCCAUUUCAGAUUUUUUUUUUGAGGGGGCACAACUUUAACUGUGAUU